AGCAAUGCCGCGUGUGUGAAGAAGGCCUUCGGGUUGUAAAGCACUUUUGUCNGGNAGGAAAGUCUGGGAACUAAUACUUUCUGGAUAUGACGUUACCUAAAGAAUCAGCACCGGCUAACUCUGUGCCAGCAGCCGCGGUAAUACANAGGGUGCAAGCGUUAAUCGGAAUUACUGGGCGUAAAGGGUCUGUAGGCGGAUCAUUAAGUCGGAUGUGAAAUCCCCGGGCUCAACCUGGGAACGGCAUUCNAUACUGGUGAUCUAGAGUGUGCAAGAGGAUGGGGGAAUUCCUGGUGUAGCAGUGAAAUGCGUAGAUAUCAGGAGGAACAUCAAUGGCGAAGGCACCUUUCUGGGGCAACACUGACGCUGAGAGACGAAAGCGUGGGGAGCAAACAGGAUUAGAUACCCUGGUAGUCCACGCCCUAAACGAUGUCAACUAAUUGUUCGGAGUCGAUUAGAUUCUGAGUAAUGAAGCUAACGCGAUAAGUUGACCGCCUGGGGAGUACGGCCGCAAGGUUGAAACUCAAAGAAAUUGACGGG
rnacentral:rRNA from 1 species